rnacentral:rRNA from 1 species
CGGGUGAGUAACACGGGGGUAACCUGACCAAACGACUGGGAUAAAUCCGGGAAAACGGGGCUAAUACCGGAUAAAAAUUUGAACCGCAUGGGUAGAAAUUGAAAGGCGGCUUCGGCUGUCACUUAUCGAUGGACCCGCGGCGCAUUAGCGAGUUGGGGGGGUAACCGCGCACCAAGGCAACGAUGCGGAGCCGACCUGAGAGGG